rnacentral:rRNA from 1 species
GACGAACUGCCCAAACGUUGUUCGGAAUCACUGGGCUUAAAGGGCGCGUAGGCGGCAACCCAAGUCAGGGGUGAAAUCCGGCAGCUUAACUGUCGAAGUGCCUUUGAUACUGAGUUGCUCGAGGAAGGUAGGGGUCUGUGGAACUUCCGGUGGAGCGGUGAAAUGCGUUGAUAUCGGAAGGAACGCCGGUGGCGAAAGCGACGGACUGGACCUUUUCUGACGCUGAGGCGCGAAAGCUAGGGGAGCAAACGGG